rnacentral:lncRNA from 1 species
GACAUUCCCUAGUAUAAAAAUAAAGAAAGGGUUGUUUGUUAAUUUUAAUUGUCGUUUUUCGUUUUGAAUCUUUUUUAAGAAAUAACACUUCUCUAAAAUGGAAUUGUAAAUUAGUAUCGUUGAAAUUCUCCUUCUUUCAGUAUAGAAUCAUUAAUACAAAGUUUUGUACAUUGUUGAUCCGAACUAUGUGAAUGAUAUUUUGAAUACGUCUCGUCUCCUCUUUUAUUGAGUGGAACUUGUCUUAGUGAUGUAUGGCCUCGUUGAAUUGUGCUAGUGGGACACCACUCGAGGUAGACAUAUUUCUCUGGGAAGAUAGUUUAGAUACGCAUAAUAAUUUAAUUCAUCGUCUAUCUAUAAAGUAAAAACCGAUAUAGAAACUAUUUCAAUACUCGUAAAGAUGUUAGGUGAAUAUAUAGAUAUUGUUAUAAGAUAAACUUUGAAAUGAUCCUCCACUCCUUUACCAACUCAAGCACUAUAAUCAUCUAUUCAUCAAGCACUAUGAUCAUCUACUCAUCAACCACUAUGAUCACCCACUCAUUUACCAAAUCAAGCAACAUCUUUGAUAUUUUAUGUAUUGUUGCUUACUAUAAAUACCGUCACUCA